rnacentral:rRNA from 1 species
CAUUGUGCUUGCACAGAUGACGACCGGCGCACGGGUGCGUAACGCGUAUAGAACCUACCUUUUACAGAGGGAUAGCCUUUAGAAAUGAAGAUUAAUACCUUAUAGUAUUGAGACUUGGCAUCAAGUUUUAAUUAAAGAUUUAUCGGUAAAAGAUGGCUAUGCGUCCUAUUAGUUAGUUGGUAAGGUAACGGCUUACCAAGACAGCGAUAGGUAGGGGCCCUGAGAGGGGGAUCCCCCACACUGGUACUGAGACACGGACCAGACUCCUACGGGAGGCAGCAGUGAGGAAUAUUGGGCAAUGGAGGCAACUCUGACCCAGCCAUGCCGCGUGCAGGAAGACGGCCCUAUGGGUUGUAAACUGCUUUUAUACAGGAAGAAACACUCGUACGUGUACGAGCUUGACGGUACUGUAAGAAUAAGGACCGGCUAACUCCGUGCCAGCAGCCGCGGUAAUACGGAGGGUCCGAGCGUUAUCCGGAAUCAUUGGGUUUAAAGGGUCCGCAGGCGGUCAAUUAAGUCAGAGGUGAAAUACCAUAGCUCAACUAUGGAACUGCCUUUGAUACUGGUUGACUUGAGUCAUAUGGAAGUAGAUAGAAUGUGUAGUGUAGCGGUGAAAUGCAUAGAGAUUACACAGAAUACCGAUUGCGAAGGCAGUCUACUACGUAUGUACUGACGCUGAGGGACGAAAGCGUGGGGAGCGAACAGGAUUAGAUACCCUGGUAGUCCACGCCGUAAACGAUGGAUACUAGUUGUUGGGCAUUAGCUCAGUGACUAAGCGAAAGUGAUAAGUUACCCACU